UUAUGGAGAGUUUGAUCCUGGCUCAGGAUGAACGCUGGCGGCGUGCCUAAUACAUGCAAGUCGAGCGAACAGACGAGGAGCUUGCUCCUCUGACGUUAGCGGCGGACGGGUGAGUAACACGUGGGUAACCUACCUAUAAGACUGGGAUAACUCCGGGAAACCGGGGCUAAUACCGGAUAACACAUGAAACCGCAUGGUUUCAUGAUGAAAGACGGUUUUGCUGUCACUUAUAGAUGGACCCGCGGCGUAUUAGCUAGUUGGUAAGGUAACGGCUUACCAAGGCAACGAUACGUAGCCGACCUGAGAGGGUGAUCGGCCACACUGGAACUGAGACACGGUCCAGACUCCUACGGGAGGCAGCAGUAGGGAAUCUUCCGCAAUGGGCGAAAGCCUGACGGAGCAACGCCGCGUGAGUGAUGAAGGUCUUCGGAUCGUAAAACUCUGUUAUUAGGGAAGAACAAGGGUGUAAGUAACU
rnacentral:rRNA from 1 species